UGUCUUCUUGUCACCAUCUGAGAGUUGGAGGAAGGUCUGGCUGAGGCGGGGAGAUGUGUUGGCCUCAUCCAACCCAGGGAUGCCUGCCACUGAGAGCGCCAGGGCUGGAAGUCUCCAAGGAUACACUGGCCUGGGGCAUUCUUCACAUCAUCUCCCGGGGCAGAGGUGGUGUUCAUCUUCUCUGCAUUGGGGAACUGGGUCAUCAGCUGCAUCUGGAAAUCUUCUCUUCGCUCAUAUUCCUUCCCGCGGUAGAUGAACACUUUGUUCUGCAGAGAAAGG
rnacentral:lncRNA from 1 species